rnacentral:rRNA from 1 species
ACUCAAAUGAAUUGACGGGGGCCCGCACAAGCGGUGGAGCAUGUGGUUUAAUUCGAUGCUACACGAAAAACCUUACCUACCCUUGAUCUCCAUAACUGAAUAGAGAUAUUCGGGUGCCUUAGGGAAAUGGAUGACAGGUGCUGCAUGGCUGUCGUCAGCUCGUGUUGUGAAAUGUUGGGUUAAGUCCCGUAACGAGCGCAACCCUCAUCCUUAGUUACUAACAAGUUAUGUUGAGGACUUUAAGGAAACUGCCGGUUAUAAUCCGGAGGAAGGCGAGGACGACGUCAAGUCAUUAUGGCCUUUAUGGGUAGGGCUACACACGUGCUACAAUGGUUAAUACAAAGGGUUAGCAAAAUCGUGAGAUGAAGCAAAUCUUCUAAAGUUAAUCGUAGUCCGGAUUGGAGUCUGCAACUUGACUCCAUGAAGUUGGAAUCGCUAGUAAUCGUGGAUCAGCAUGCCACGGUGAAUACGUUCUCGGGCCUUGUACACACCGCCCGU